AACGAACGCUGGCGGCGUGGAUAAGACAUGCAAGUCGAACGAUGACUUAGGGAGUAGCAAUAUUUCCAAGUCGCAGUGGCGAAAGGGUGCGUAACACGUGGGCAAUCUGCCGUGAAGUUGGGAAUAACUCGCCGAAAGGCGAGCUAAUGCCGAAUGUGGCUGCAAUCAGGCAUCUGGAUGCAGCUAAGCUGGGACCGCAAGGCCUCGCGCUAUUGGAUGAGCCUAAGCCGAUUA
rnacentral:rRNA from 1 species